rnacentral:rRNA from 1 species
GACGAACGCUGGCGGCGUGCCUAACACAUGCAAGUCGAGCGAGUGAAUCUCCUUCGGGAGUGAAGCUAGCGGCGGACGGGUGAGUAACACGUGGGCAACCUGCCUCAUAGAGGGGAAUAGCCUUUCGAAAGGAAGAUUAAUACCGCAUAAGAUUGUAGCUUCGCAUGAAGUAGCAAUUAAAGGAGCAAUCCGCUAUGAGAUGGGCCCGCGGCGCAUUAGCUAGUUGGUGAGGUAACGGCUCACCAAGGCGACGAUGCGUAGCCGACCUGAGAGGGUGAUCGGCCACAUUGGGACUGAGACACGGCCCAGACUCCUACGGGAGGCAGCAGUGGGGAAUAUUGCACAAUGGGGGAAACCCUGAUGCAGCAACGCCGCGUGAGUGAUGACGGCCUUCGGGUUGUAAAGCUCUGUCUUCAGGGACGAUAAUGACGGUACCUGAGGAGGAAGCCACGGCUAACUACGUGCCAGCCGCCGCAGUAA